GAUGAAAAGCACUUUGAAAAGAGGGUGAAAAGAACCUGAAACCGUCACGGGGGAAGCGGAUUGCGUUGGCCUGGUGGGCGCUUGUGUGUUCAGCCUUCGGGUGCAUUGGCACAGGUGCUUAUCCGCCGUGGGUUUUCGGGAGUCGAUUUUGGACUCCUGGAGGCUGAGGGCUCCCUUCGGGUGAGGACGGCGGAGUGACGACGCGAUACGACCCGUCUUGAAACACGGACCAAGGAGUCUAGCGCGAUUGCGAGUCGGAGGGUGCAAGCCCGUGGGCGUAGUGAAAGCGAGUGUAAAAACGAGCAGUUUGAGGCGGCAUAAGAUCGUUGAUCUUAAGACUGACCUAGAGCAGUUGCGCUGGGACCCGAAAGAUGGUGAACUAUGCCGGAGUAGGGCAAAGCCAGAGGAAACUCUGGUGGAGGCUCGUAGCGGUGCUGACGUGCAAAUCGCUCGUCCAACUUGGGUAUAGGGGCGAAAGACUAAUCGAACCAUCUAGUAGCUGGUUCCCUCCGAAGUUUCUCUCAGGAUAGCGGGCCGACAAGUUGUUUUGUGC
rnacentral:rRNA from 1 species